AACUUGACAAAGAGAACUUAAGCCAAAUAACCCGAAACCAGACGAGCUACCCAAGAGCAGCUAAAGAGCAAACUCAUCUGUGUGGCAAAACAGCGAGAANGACUUCUGGGUAGAGGUGAAAAGCCUACCGAGCCUGGUGAUAGCUGGUUGUCCAGAACAGAAUUUAAGUUCGACUUUAAGCCAUGCCUAAAAGACCUAUAACUUAAAUGCAGGCCUAAAAUAUAAUCUAAAAGGGUACAGCCUUUUAGAAGCAGGAUACAACCUUUAAUAGAGAGUAAGUACAUAAAAUACCCAUAGUUGGCCUAGAAGCAGCCACCAAUUAAGAAAGCGUUCAAGCUCAAAACCCCCACCCAACCCUAAUUCAAACAGUAACCUACGAACCCCUAACCUAAUACUGGACUAUUCUAUAAUACCAUAGAAGAAACACUGUUAAUAUUAGUAACAAGAAUAACAUUCUCCCCCGCACAAGCCUAUAUCAGAACGGAUAUUACACUGAUAGUUAACAAUAAGAUAAACUCACCCCACAACUAGAAUACUUAUCAAAUCAAUUGUUGACCCAACACAGGUGUGCCCCAAGGAAAGAUUAAAAGAAGUAAAAGGAACUCGGCAAACACAAACCCCGCCUGUUUACCAAAAACAUCACCUCCAGCAUACCAACUAUUGGAGGCACUGCCUGCCCAGUGACACUUGUUUAACGGCCGCGGUAUCCUGACCGUGCAAAGGUAGCAUAAUCAUUUGUUCUCUAAAUAAGGACUUGUAUGAAUGGCCCCACGAGGGUUUAGCUGUCUCUUACUUCCAAUCAGUGAAAUUGACCUUCCCGUGAAGAGGCGGGAAUAAGUAAAUAAGACGAGAAGACCCUAUGGAGCUUUAAUUAACUAACCCAUAAGUAAAAACAACCAUCCAAGGAUACAAAACCUAAUUUAAUGGGUUAAUAAUUUAGGUUGGGGCGACCUCGGAGUACAAAACAACCUCCGAGUGAUUAAAAUCUAGACCUACAAGUCAAAAUAUCUAAUCAUUAAUUGAUCCAAAAACUUGAUCAACGGAACAAGUUACCCUAGGGAUAACAGCGCAAUCCUACUUGAGAGUCCAUAUCGAUAGCAGGGUUUACGACCUCGAUGUUGGAUCAGGACACCCCAAUGGUGCAGCCGCUAUUAAAGGUUCGUUUGUUCAACGAUUAAAGUCCUACGUGAUCUGAGUNUCAGACCGGAGUAAUCCAGGUCGGUUUCUAUCUAUUUAUGCGUUCCUCCCAGUACGAAAGGACAAGAGAAACAAGGCCAACUUAACACAAGCGCC
rnacentral:rRNA from 1 species